rnacentral:misc_RNA from 1 species
AACGCACCUUGCGCUCCUUGGUAUUCCGAGGAGCAUGCCUGUUUGAGUGUCAUGUAUUCCUCAAUCUCUUCAGUUUGUUUCUGAGGUAGAUUGGAUGUGGAAGCUGCUGGUUCAAACUGAAUCAGCUCUUCUUAAAUGUAUUAGUGUGAAUGUUACCGAACGUUCUCCAGUGUAAUAAUCAUUUGCGCUGCUAGGACUUUGGUAGACCAUAUGUUCAUGCUUCUUAACUGUCUGUUAUGGACAAUCUACUUUGCGUUUGACCUCAAAUCAGGUAGGAUUACCCGCUGAACUUAA